GGAAAAACCCCAUUCAACUUCGUACAACUGGGUUCAAUCAGUAGCUCUUGAGAGUAUCCCUGGGCAGGACGCGGGGACCUGGAGGCCAACGAGCUCCGGGAUUCCGGAGCAAAUUAAGGAUCAGCAGCAGGAUGUCGCGGAUAGCCUUCUGACAAAUUGGCAAAAUGCGGGGUUUCGGUAGCCAAAAGCGCGCCAUCGACACAUCCCCUACCUUGAGGGUGCACGUGACAGUGGUAGACACUCAAGCCCUUAAAAGGAGCGCAACGGAGGUUUAUGAUUUACACGUGUAUGGAUGGGCACGUUCACAGCGACCAGCACGGCUUCCAUGUGCAUGUUGAUGUGCUUUAGCAUACUGAGACCACGCGGGGACACACAUGUCCUUGAUGCAGUCACUUUUUGUCUCUCUCUGCAUGUGGCUUAUGAGCGCACGGUCGAAACAUUUCCCAAGGGUACAGAGGUGACACGGGAAAGUGCCCGAGCUGCCCCUCCGCUCCUGCGGCCUCCAGACUGCUCCUGGCGCGCACAGAUUUGUGCAGUCCUCGGUGGAACGAGUUUGCUCUCCCUGCGCCCUAACUGGGUGUGCAGCCUUCUGUUGUGUGGCCCUGUAUCUUUAGGUAGGGAACAUCUUUUGUCUCUCGGCAAGAAGCUUUCCUCCGGGAGAGAUAAAGUAAUCGAUAGGGUCUUUUAAAUAGCUCCGCGUUUCCUGUCCGGCGAGGAGUAUCAGCGUGUGCACCAAAUCUGCUCUGGUCUAUGAAUGUCUUCAUCGUCGGAAUGAGUGCACAUUCAGGAGGAAGGCUGUGACCGUCACUUGCCGCUUGUGACUUUAGUGUCCAGAGGUCAGCGUGGAGGUGCCAGAGGUCAUGGCCACCUUGCCGUUUCAUUUGCUCUUCUGCUGAACUCCAUCUGUACUUUCAGCCGGUCACUUCUGGGAUCAGUGCGGUUCCUGCCUCUGCCCGGUGCUGUGGGAGGUGGCUUGUCCUUUUGUAGCCUCUGUAAUGGCUCCUUGAGCACCAGGGCUGGCCUGGGGCAGCGAGUCUGCAGCUUGGCGGUCAGGCCGGAAGGACUGAGGACUGUGCGCCUGUGCGGGUGGGAAUUCCAAGCUCAGUGUCCCUUCAAGGGAGAACGGCAGGGGCGGCAGGACAGGGGCCGGCUCCUCCCUGUGGGCUGCUCUGGUUUCAGAGGGAAGCCUGGGGAGAUGCCCACCUGGGUCACAGAUGGACCUGGGACCCUGAGAUGACAGUCGCCAGGCGGCCCACUGCCUCUCUUCAGUUUCUGUCCCACAGAAGAGGGCAGGGCUGGGAAGGAAAGGGGAGAUGGGGGGGACGAAUGUGUGCGUAGCCAGCAUUAAUUAAUCGCCUGAUGCAUGCCGAGCUUGCUGAGUGGUUUGUACCCAUCAGUGCUAAAUUUCAUAGCCAGGUGAGACUUACAACUGCUGUUUUAUAAAAGAAAAAUCAGACUCAGAGAGGCCAAGUCAUUUGCCCAGGGACAGUCAGCUGCCAGAUGCAGGAGACGGGUUUGAAUGGAGUUGGAAGGGGCCUCAAGCCGUGCACACUUCACCUGAAACUGCCGGGAGCCUUCGGACAGGAGCCCAGACUGAUGGCAAGUUCCCGCCUGCCACCCCACGGCCCGGUUACUCCGUUCUCUGACCCCCCUGGGAAGCUCUGGCCUCUGUGGCCCUGCAGGUUUUACUGGUCGGGAUGUGGCACCAAGCCUCUGUCCCCCAUGCACCCAUCCUGGGCCCUCGAAGGCGCUGGAAGGUCAAGUGGCCUGCCUCCCUAAGGCCGGGAUGUCCUGGGCCUCCUGCCACUGAGCCACACCCACCCUACCCUUCUCUCCCCGAUUUCAUUAAAAACAAUACUCUUUAGGUUAAAACUCCAAGAAAGUGUUAGAAAAAGAAAGGCAAACAAAAAUGUCCUAGCCACUGUUGAUUAAAAAAAAAAAAAGCCUUCCAACGGAGAAGAGUGCAAGCAGCACGGAGGCAGAAAACCAGGAGCGACCUCCUGGGAUUCCUUCCAGAAUUUUCUUUUGCACAGAUCGACAACUAGUCCUCUAGUUGUUCAGGGAUAUUUACAGUGUCCACCCACGGGGCCGCCCUGUGCACGUCCUGCCUUGUGCGUCUCCCAUCACGUGGCCGGCUCCCUGUCCCGGCAAGUCCUCUCCCGAGCGGGGCGGUGCGCUGUGUGCCCCGGGUGUUCCACGAGGCCUCCCGGUGCGGGCGGGGGUGUCUGGUGUUUCCAGCGUUUUCUUCAGCGUCACAGCGUCACAGCCACCGUACUCCGUGCUCCCUGCAGCCUGGGGACCAGCCCCGCGCACCUGCGGAGGGCCAAGCCCGCGGACGCCCACCUGCUGCCCCCUGGUGGCCAUGCCGGGGAGCCGCAGGCCGGCCCCGAGCGCCUGACUCCGCGGCGAUCAUCAGCCUGUUGGUGUUACAAAGGGAGAAACGUCUUGGGCUCUCAACCCCCAGGGCUGCCCAGUGGCUGGGCCCAGCUCCACCUGACUCCCGGAGGCAGCUGUGCAGAUGGGUCAAACGGGGCUGGCCGGAUGCUGCUGUGUUUGGGGGACUCGUUGACAGUAAUGGGGUGCCCGCUAGGUGCCCUUCUGGGUGCUAAAAGCAGGACAGCCCUUAGGCUGAAGUUUCCACUUUCAGACCUGUUGGAGUCAGGUACAGUCACGUGCUACGGCAUGACGUCUCGGUCAGUGCCAGGCUGCCUAUGAUGGUGGCUCCGUGAGAUCAGGAUGGAGCCAGAACAGGAAUUCGUGCUUGAAGGGUUGAGAGAACAGGGUCCUGCAGGAGACGGAGGGGUCCAGGAAUGUGCCCCCUGAGGGGUCCAGUGGGAACUUCUGCAGACCCCAACCGGCUCCUUAAAAUGUGGAAACCUGGACCCAAGACCAGAAGGCUCACUAACAGGGCAAUGGCCACGAGCACCAUCUUUCUACAGGCAAAUCUGUGGUAAAAAGAGAACACACGGAGCAAGCCACAAAGGACUCUCUGAAAGGAGUGUCACCCCGAGACGCGCCUCAGGCAGGCCCUUCAGGAGGGAUCCCGAGGAGGGCACUGCCGUCAGGGACCGCGGCGCUGGGUGCGUGAGGCCGGGCUGCAGUGCGAAUGCAUUCUUAGUUUUUAACAAAAAAGUUUGACAAAUAAAGAAAACAUUUUUUUGAAAGCUAAAAGCUUAUUGACAGGAGGCAUCACAAUAUCAGACCUUAAACUAGACUACAGAGCUACAGUAACAAAAACGGCAUGGCACUGGCACCAAACAGAUAGUAGGCCAAUGGUAGGGAACAGAAGACACACAGGCAAACCCACAUAAAUAUGGUUAUCUCAUACUAGAGAAAGGUGCAUAAACAUACAUUGGAGAAAAGAUAGCCUCUUCAACAAAUGGUGCUGGGAAAACUGGAAAUC